AACGCGAAGAACCUUACCUGGCCUUGACAUGCACGUAGUAGAAGGGUGAAAGCCCAACGAGGUAGCAAUACAAGCGUGCACAGGUGCUGCAUGGCUGUCGUCAGCUCGUGCCGUGAGGUGUUCGGUUAAGUCCGGUAACGAGCGCAACCCCUGUGUUUAGUUGCAACCGCCGAUGUGAAUCGGUGGGCACUCUAAACAGACUGCCCUGUGAAACGGGGAGGAAGGUGGGGAUGACGUCAAGUCAGUAUGGCCCUUACGGCCAGGGCUGCACACGUGCUACAAUGCCCAGCACAGAGGGACGCAAGACCGCGAGGUGGAGCAAAUCCCCCAAAACUGGGCUCAGUUCAGAUUGAAGGCUGCAACUCGCCUUCAUGAAGCUGGAAUCGCUAGUAAUGGCGCAUCAGCUACGGCGCCGUGAAUACGUUCCCGGGCCUUGUACACACCGCGAGC
rnacentral:rRNA from 1 species